rnacentral:rRNA from 1 species
AACGAACGCUGGCGGCAUGCCUAACACAUGCAAGUCGAACGAGAUCUUCGGAUCUAGUGGCGCACGGGUGCGUAACGCGUGGGAAUCUGCCCCUUGCUUCGGAAUAACAGUGAGAAAUUACUGCUAAUACCGGAUGAUGUCUUCGGACCAAAGAUUUAUCGGCAAGGGAUGAGCCCGCGUAGGAUUAGGUAGUUGGUGGGGUAAUGGCCUACCAAGCCGACGAUCCUUAGCUGGUCUGAGAGGAUGAUCAGCCACACUGGGACUGAGACACGGCCCAGACUCCUACGGGAGGCAGCAGUGGGGAAUAUUGGACAAUGGGAGAAAGCCUGAUCCAGCAAUGCCGCGUGAGUGAUGAAGGCCUUAGGGUUGUAAAGCUCUUUUACCAGGGAUGAUAAUGACAGUACCUGGAGAAUAAGCUCCGGCUAACUCCGUG